rnacentral:rRNA from 1 species
AGAGGCCCGCCGCGGUAACGACGGGUAACGGGGAAUCAGGGUUCGAUUCCGGAGAGGGAGCCCGAGAAACGGCUACCACUUCCAAGGAAGGCAGCAGGCGCGCAACUUACCCUAAUCUCGAUUCGAGGAGGUAGUGACAAGAAAUACCGAUGCGGGACCCUACGGGGUGCCGCGUUCGGAAUGAGUACGAUUCGAACCACCUAACGAGGAACGAUCGGAGGGCAAGUCUGGUGCCAGCAGCCGCGGGAAUUCCAGCUCCAAUAGCGUACGUUAAAGUUGCUGCAGUUAAAAAGCUCGUAGUUGAACGUUCGGGUUCCGCGGGACGGGGCCGCCCCGCGAGGGACGGCGCCGCCCCGGGGCUCGUGAUAUCUUAUCUCGCCGCCCGUCGCGAGGCGGACGGAGGGAUGGAUGAGGUUACCUGGAAAAA